CGCCUAAUGUGUCAAGAACACACACAAAUCGUCACAUACACCGGGGUGCUCAGGAAUUUAUCACUUAGUUUAAUAAAAAAUAGGUGGAAGGUAUUUACUGGGUCGGCGUUAUGGGAUUUGUGGAGGCAUAAC
rnacentral:sRNA from 1 species